rnacentral:rRNA from 1 species
UGGGGAAUAUUGCACAAUGGGCGCAAGCCUGAUGCAGCCAUGCCGCGUGUGUGAAGAAGGCCUUCGGGUUGUAAAGCACUUUCAGCGGGGCGGAAGGCGGUGAGGUUAAUAACCUCAUCGAUUGACGUUACCCGCAGAAGAAGCACCGGCUAACUCCGUGCCAGCAGCCGCGGUAAUACGGAGGGUGCAAGCGUUAAUCGGAAUUACUGGGCGUAAAGCGCACGCAGGCGGUCUGUCAAGUCGGAUGUGAAAUCCCCGGGCUCAACCUGGGAAGUGCAUUCGAAACUGGCAGGCUAGAGUCUUGUAGAGGGGGGUAGAAUUCCAGGUGUAGCGGUGAAAUGCGUAGAGAUCUGGAGGAAUACCGGUGGCGAAGGCGGCCCCCUGGACAAAGACUGACGCUCAGGUGCGAAAGCGUGGGGAGCAAACAGG